rnacentral:rRNA from 1 species
UACGUAGGUGGCAAGCGUUGUCCGGAUUUACUGGGCGUAAAGAGCGCGCAGGCGGUCGUUCAAGUCGCGUGUGAAAGCCCCCCGGCUCAACUGGGGAGGGUCAUUCGAUACUGCUCGACUUGAAGGCAGGAGAGGGUAGUGGAAUUCCCGGUGUAGUGGUGAAAUGCGUAGAUAUCGGGAGGAACACCAGUGGCGAAGGCGACUACCUGGCCUGUUCUUGACGCUGAGGCGCGAAAGCUAGGGGAGCAAACGGGG